UACGUAGGUGACGAGCGUUGUCCGGAUUUACUGGGCGUAAAGAGCGCGCAGGCGGUCGUUCAAGUCGAGUGUGAAAGCCCCCGGCUCAACUGGGGAGGGUCACUCGAUACUGAUCGACUCGAAGGCAGGAGAGGGAAGUGGAAUUCCCGGUGUAGUGGUGAAAUGCGUAGAUAUCGGGAGGAACACCAGUGGCGAAGGCGAACUUCCUGGCCCUGGUUCG
rnacentral:rRNA from 1 species